ACGAACGCUGGCGGCGUGCUUAACCCAUGCAAGUCGCACGGAAUGGCCCUGCUUUUGUGGGGUGCUCGAGUGGCGAACGGGUGAGUAACACGUGAGUAACCUGCCCUUGACUUUGGGAUAACUUCAGGAAACUGGGGCUAAUACCGGAUAGGAGCUCCUGCUGCAUGGUGGGGGUUGGAAAGUUUCGGCGGUUGGGGAUGGACUCGCGGCUUAUCAGCUUGUUGGUGGGGUAGUGGCUUACCAAGGCUUUGACGGGUAGCCGGCCUGAGAGGGUGACCGGCCACAUUGGGACUGAGAUACGGCCCAGACUCCUACGGGAGGCAGCAGUGGGGAAUAUUGCACAAUGGGCGGAAGCCUGAUGCAGCAACGCCGCGUGCGGGAUGACGGCCUUCGGGUUGUAAACCGCUUUCGCCUGUGACGAAGCGUGAGUGACGGUAAUGGGUAAAGAAGCACCGGCUAACUACGUG
rnacentral:rRNA from 1 species